UAGGGAAUCUUCCACAAUGGACGCAAGUCUGAUGGAGCAACGCCGCGUGAGUGAAGAAGGUUUUCGGACCGUAAAGCUCUGUUGUUGGUGAAGAAGGAUAGAGGUAGUAACUGGCCUUUAUUUGACGGUAAUCAACCAGAAAGUCACGGCUAACUACGUGCCAGCAGCCGCGGUAAUCGUAGGUGGCAAGCGUUGUCCGGAUUUAUUGGGCGUAAAGCGAGCGCAGGCGGAAGAAUAAGUCUGAUGUGAAAGCCCUCGGCUUAACCGAGGAAUUGCAUCGGAAACUGUU
rnacentral:rRNA from 1 species